UACGCCCUACGGGACGCAGCAGUGAGGAAUAUUGGUCAAUGGGCGGGAGCCUGAACCAGCCAAGCCGCGUGAGGGAAGACGGCCCUAUGGGUUGUAAACCUCUUUUGUCGGAGAACAAAACCCGGGACGUGUCCCGGACUGCGUGUAUCCGAAGAAAAAGCAUCGGCUAACUCCGUGCCAGCAGCCGCGGUAAUACGGAGGAUGCGAGCGUUAUCCGGAUUUAUUGGGUUUAAAGGGUGCGUAGGCGGGACGGUAAGUCAGCGGUAAAAAUGCGGAGCUCAACCCCGUC
rnacentral:rRNA from 1 species